rnacentral:lncRNA from 1 species
CCACAGUCUCCCUCUCCUCACGGUCUCCCUCUAAUGCCGAGCCGAAGCUGGACUGUACUGCUGCCAUCUCGGCUCACUGCAACCUCCCUGCCUGAUUCUCCUGCCUCAGCCUGCCAAGUGCCUGCCAUUGCAGGCACGUGCCACCACGCCUGACUGGUUUUCAUAUUUUUUUGGUGGAGACGAGGUUUCGCUGUGUUGGCUGGGCUGGUCUCCAGCUCCUAACCGCGAGUGAUCUGCCAGCCUCGGCCUCCCGAGGCGCCGGGAUUGCAGACGGAGUCUCGUUCACUCAUUGCUCAAUGUUGCCCAGGCUGGAGUGCAGUGGCGUGAUCUCGGCUAGCUACAACCUCCACCUCCCAGCCGCCUGCGUUAGCCUCCCAAAGUGUCGAGAUUGCAGCCUCUGCCCGGCCGCCGCCCCAUCUGGGAAGUGAGGAGCGUCUCUGCCUGGCCGCCCAUCGUCUGGGAUGUGAGGAGACCCUCUGCCCGGCUGCCCAGUCUGGGAAGUGAGGAGCGCCUCUUUCCGGCUGCCAUCCCGUCUAGGAAGCGAGGAGCGUCUCUGCCCGGCCGCCCAUCGUCUGAGAUGUGGGGAGCGCCUCUGCCCUGCCGCCCCGUCUGGGAUGUGAGGAGCGCCUCUGCCCGGCCACGACUCCAUCUGGGAGGUGAGGAGCAUCUCUGCCGGCCACCUCAUCUGAGAAGUGAGGAGCCCCUCCGCCCAGCAGCCGCCCAAUCUGAGAAGUGAGGAGCCCCUCCGCCCGGCAGCCACCCCGUCUGAUAAGUGAGGAGCCCCUCUGCCCGGCAGCCGCCCUGUCUGGGAAGUGAGGAGCGUCUCUGCCCAGCAGCCGCCCCGUCUGGGAGGGAGGUGGGGGGCAGCCCCCGCCCGGCCAGCCGCCCCUGCUGGGAACUGAGGAGCCCCUCUUCCCGGCUGCCACCCCGUCUGGGAGGUGUACCCAGCAGCUCAUUGAGAACGGGCCAUGAUGACGAUGGCGGUUUUGUGGAAUAGAAAAGGGGGAAAUGUGGGGAAAGGAUAGAGAAAUCAGAUUGUUUCUGUGUCUGUGUAGAAAGAAGUAGACAUGGGAGACUCCAUUUUUGUUCUGUACUAAGAAAGAUUCUUCUGCCUUGGGAUGCUGUUGAUCUAUGACCUUGCCCCCAGCCCUAUGCUCUCUGAAACAUGUGCUGUGUCCACUCAGGGUUAAAUGGAUUAAGGGCGGUGCAAGAUGUGCUUUGUUAAACAGAUGCUUGAAGGCAGCAUGCUCGUUAAGAGUCAUCACCACUCCCUAAUCUCAAGUAUCCAGGGACACAAACACUGCGGAAGGCCGCAGGGUCCUCUGCCUAGGAAAACCAGAGACCUUUGUUCACUUGUUUAUCUGCUGACCUUCCCUCCACUAUUGUCCUAUGACCCUGCCAAAUCCCCCUCUGCCAGAAACACCCAAGAAUGAUCAACUAAAAAAAAAAAACUCAGCCCAAAAUUUGACCAGGUUUCAUCACAUAAAUUAAAUAAAAGAAAGAAAACAAAAAAAAAAAAAAAAAGAAAAGAAAAAGGAGAGCUUUACCUCUAGGCAAGAAUGCUUCACUCUGAUUAAUUCCUACCCCCAACCACACCCCUCACCACAAGAUAGAAUCUUGUCUUUUGUGAGGUCUUAGUCAUGUUCCUUUGACCCACUGCAGGCCAUAAUUCUGCAACUAGAGACAUCUCUAAUUCUCUCCUUCCACCUUCCCCUAGAGAAAUGUCAGGACUGACAGAUGGACCCUAGUUUGUGAUCUCUAUGACCAGAGUGGGUUCUGAGGCAGGACCAACCCUUACGGUUGAGCAGUCUGAGCAUCUGACAAAAGGGAAUGGUGGGUAGUCUGGUAACCUGCCCCUAACCUGCUCAUCAGAGAUGGUUUGCUGAACCAGGAGAAAGCUUGGCCCUUUCUAAUUAUAAAAUAAAGCAGAAUUUCACUCAAAAAAAAAUAAAAUAAAAUAAAUAUCUAUAGAUAAAUAAAACCUACCUCUUUUUUCCAUAUUGCCCCAAUGCCAUUCUUAUGUAAUGAAACAUUUAAUUAAUCAUGAGUGUCAUGAUGAUCAGUUAUUAAUAAUAGAAAAGAAGUUAGUAUAUUAAAUCCUAAUGUUUAAUAAAUGAGAAAAAGAAUAAAGCAGCAUAUUAAUAGAGUAGAUACAGAAAGAACAAAUGAAGAAAUUUUGGUAUAAUGUUAUUUAAAAUACACUUUCAAAGGUGCAUGUGAUAUACAGCUAUUUCUCAAACUUACUUGCCAGAAGCUCUUCUUCUGUUGUUUAUAUAUAUAUAUAUUUAUUUUGUCAUUUGGCUUCUUGUGGGACUGUAUUCUAACAACAGUUCUUUGCUUGGCCAAACUUUAGUCAGGCUUCUGGACUUUCUCCUGGGCCUGUCUGUGCACAUCAUUCUAAAACCCAGUUUUAGCAAAUAAUACGGCCAACACAGUUUAGCAAGAAUUAUUCAUCCUUGAUAUCUGAUCACCCUCAGUAUCUGAUCAAAAUUUUUCUCUGCCCACUCCUGUUAGCUGAUCACCCUCGCCUGUUUUCAGCAGGAAUCCUGUUAGGUUGGUUCUGCCAGAAUUUCCCCCAGACUUGGUAUCUCUUCUUAAAAAUUUUCUGAGCAUUUUUUUCAUGUGUUUUUUGGCUGCAUAAAUGUCUUCUUUUGAGAAGUGUCUGUUCAUGUCCUUCACCCACUUUUUGAUGGGGUUGUUUGUUUUUUUCUUGUAAAUUUGUUUGAGUUCAUUGUAGAUUGUGGAUAUUAGCCAUUUGUCAGAUGAGUAGGUUGCGAAAAUUUUCUCCCAUUUUGUAGGUUGCCUGUUCACUCUGAUGGUAGUUUCUUUUGCUGUGCAGAAGCUCUUUAGUUUAAUUAGAUACAUGGAUGAAAUUGGAAAUCAUCAUUCUCAGUAAACUAUCGCAAGGACAAAAAAACCAAACACCGCAUAUUCUCACUCAUAGGUGGGAAUUGAACAAUGAGAACACAUGGACACAGG